rnacentral:rRNA from 1 species
UACGGAGGGUGCAAGCGUUGUUCGGAAUUACUGGGCGUAAAGGGCGCGUAGGCGGCCGAUCAAGUCAGGUGUGAAAGCCCACGGCUUAACCGUGGAAGUGCAUCUGAAACUGGUUGGCUUGAGUACUGGAUGGGGAAGUGGAAUUCCCGGUGUAGAGGUGAAAUUCGUAGAUAUCGGGAGGAAUACCGGUGGCGAAGGCGACUUUCUGGACAGAUACUGACGCUGAGGCGCGAAAGCGUGGGGAGCAAACAGG